AAGCCAGUAUUUAUUUACAGUUCACAGAUUACAGGCUAGUUCCCAGCUUGGGAAAAAUCGUCUAGUAUAUUACAAAAGCUGUAGACUCUACAUGGCCACUUACUGCCACUCACUAAAGUAUUAACAAUCAAAGGAAGAAAGUCAAUAAAAGAAAAGAAGAUAGAGAGAUAUGAAAUGUGUGGGGCUGUGCAAAAUCUGCAGCAACCUCCAAUCCCCUCCAAUUCCACUCACUCCUACCUCCCCACCACUUGUGCAUAAAAAUCAUUAAAGUUGAAAGAAAGAAAAUGAGUGUGCUGCUCACCACCCUUUGUUCCCCAUCUCUUCAGCCGCCCUCUUUUUAUAUCAACUCCCAUCAGCCAACAAAUGCAAACCUUCAUUCACACUUUAUUUCACCAAAAUUUAUCGGAUUGCAUCCGCAAGUUCUGCCAAAGUAUCAAGUAAAUCAACAACAACCAAGCAAUAUCCAACCAACAUAAAGGCUUCAAGCUUCGGCUUAUUUUCAGCACAUCUGAUUCAUAAGCUCAGCUACAAACCAACAGCAUACUUCAAGGUCAAGCGCGAGAGUAAGAACUACACAAGGAGUUAGAGUACCUUAGCAAAACUUUGCUAUCAGGUUGAGCUGUGAUGGGCGAUGAAGUGUUGUUGCUGAGUGGAGUUUUUGUCGAACUUAAAGUAGGCUCAGAAAGGGUACAUGUCUUCAUACAUGUAUCUCAGUUAUGCAUUCCGCUGUAAACACUGAUUAAUUCAGUUACACCUUCCGUUGCAAACUCUGAUAAUGUUUUAGCCAAGCCCCUAACUAUGCCUUUUUCCUUUUUAAGGAAUAUUUCACGCGUAUUCAAGCUCUUUGAGUAUUCUUUUAUGCGCCCCUUUCUAAACCCGCUUCGUAAUUUCCCUUCCCCAGUCAUGGUUUCCCGGCUUAAUUAUCCUUAAUUAAGGCCGG